rnacentral:misc_RNA from 1 species
UUUGUUCGGAGUUCGGUGAUAAUUUAUUUUUGCUUUUUAUUAUCUGUGCUUUAAUAAUAUUAUUAAUAAUAAUGGAAGCAACACAAAAUCAAUAUUACAAAUAUUGUAUCGUUCACUUGUGUUCCAAUACCACUUAUAAAACACCCGGAAAGUUAUUUAUUCGUGUGCCUAAAGAUCAAAAACGUCGUUUAAAAUGGUUAAAGGCAUGCAGAAAAAAUGAGAAAGAUAUUUCACAGAAAACUACAGCCCAUGUAUGUGAGGAUCAUUUUAAUCUUGAAGAAGACAUUGAUAACUAUGUUAAAUACAAGUUAAUGGGUGGUCCAAAAAAAAUGAAACCAAAUGUAGUGCCUCAUAUAUUUGAUUGCCAGCAAAGUAGAAAAAGAUCUUUUGAAAAUCAUCCCAGGGCAGCAGGUACUAAGAGAACUGCAAAAAGAAUUGUUGAUGAAGCUAUUUCUUUGGUGCCACAAGAUCCAGUUUGUAUUCAGGAGAAUUUGGGCAUAGUUGCAUGUAGUAGUAAGACCAUUCACCCUAUGGAAAUUCAGCUGGAAACAAAAAAUGACAUUGAAGUUUCAAAAAGGGAUGUCUCUUCACAAACCCGUCCUAGUGUUAGGACUAAAGGUGUUCAAUGUAACCUACAUUGUGGAAUUACAGUAGCGUUAUCGCCAAUCAGAAUUAUUCCAGACAACAUAGAGAUGAAGCCAUCAACGAGUUAUGUGACAAAUAUUUCUGAAACUACUCUAAGCAUACAAAGUAGUGGUCAUGAAAAUUUUAGUGAAAGUGUUAGUGGAAGUAGUGAGUAUACUUUAACGCCUGGUGAAGUGAAAAAACUUAAUGAUGAAAAGAGAACUGAAUUUAAAAAUCUGACAAUGAAUUGUACAAUUACAAAGUUACAAAACAGACCUAGAUUGUAUAUGGGAUUACCAGAACAUGCAUACUACACAUUUCAAUUGCUAGAAAAAUAUUGCACGGUAAAUUCUAUGUAUAUAUUUUUAACACUAAAAAAAAUCAGGACUGGACUUUCUUUUUUAGCUCUAGCAGAUGAUUUUGGCAUAACUGAAAGUUAUGCUUCAAAAAUAUUUUCGAAAUCUGUUCCAAUUAUAAGUAAAUAUUUAAGAAAAUGUAUAAUACAACCUCAGGUUUCAUUCGUGAAAUCAAAUUUACCUAUAGCUUUUCGAGCUCGAUAUUGUAAUAUUUACUGUAUAAUUGAUUGUUUAGAAAUAGAGAUAGAGAAACCAACUGAUGCAGUGAAACAAUCUUUAACAUGGUCAGAAUAUAAAAAAUGUAAUACACUUAAAUAUUUAAUAUGUUGCACUCCUGAUGGUAUCAUAAAUUAUAUAUCGACAGCAUUUGGGGGUCGUACAUCUGAUGCUAUCAUUGCAGAACAUAGUGGUUUUUUAAAUAUUUUACCUUCAAAUGUUGCUGUUAUGGCAGAUAGGGGAUUUAAACAUAUUGACCAUUUACUUAGGUCUAAAGGUUGUGUACUAAUCAGGCCACCGAGUGUCUCUGUAGGUACAAAACCUAGUAAAGAUGAGGUAUUUGAGACCAAACGAAUAGCUAGCUUGAGAAUUCAUGUAGAAAGAGUUAUUCGUAGAUUGAGAGAAUUUUCAUUUUUAGCACCACAUGCAUGUAUUGAUAAUAAAUUGUUGUGUUAUUCAGAUAAUAUUAUCAAAAUAGUGUGUGGAUUAAUCAACUUGCAAUCAGGAAUAAUUUCAGGACGGUAACUUUUUGUAGGUUUUACUUUUAUACUUUGUAGGUAGUUAUUUAGUUUUAGAAAAAAAUUUUAGAAUAUUUUUAAGAAAAUGGUUGGUAAAAACCUGAUAUUUCAUAUUAUUACUAUUUCACUAUUUGCAAUAUAUUAUUAUCUGAUCUUAUACAAUUCUAAUGCGACAAGCCAUGCAGUUUCCCAGGACAGUACCUAACUUUUUAUAACGGGAUAAUUUUAUUAUACAGGGUGUAACAAAAAUACAGGUCAUAAAUUUAAUCACAUAUUCUGGGACCAAAAAUAGUUCUAUUGAACCUAACUUACCUUAGUACAAAUGUGCACGGAAAAAAGUUACAGACCUUUGAAGUUACAAAAAUCGAAUUUUUCCAAUAUAUAGAAAACUAUUAGAGAUUUUUUAUUGAAAAUGUACAUGUGGUAUUAAGUAUUAUGGCAGUAGUAUUUUAAGAAAAAAUUAUAAUGAAAUUUUAACACUCCAUAAAAUUUUUAUGGGAGUUUGGUUACUUUAAACCCCCCCCCCCCCCACUUUUGUGUACGUGUAUUUAAAUAUUAUUGUAGUGCCAUUAGUUAAACACAAGUUUUUAAAAACUUUUUUGAUUCUUAGUAUUUUUUCCAAAAGUCAGUUUUUAUCGAGAUAGUUCAAUAUUUGUCAAAUCCACCACAUAUUUGUAUGGUAAGGUACGAUUAUGGAGACUUGGUAAUAAUAUGAAAAUUUAUUUAUGAUUUACAUUUUUUGUAUAUUUUGAACCAUAUUAAAAAAGAAGCCACAUCUCGAUAAAAGAUGCUUUAUCAAAAAAAUACAAAGAGGCAAAAAAGUUUUAAAAACACUGUGUUUAAUUAAUGAUACCGCAGUAAUAGUUUAAUUGGAACGUACACAAACAUUUGGGGGGUUUAAAGGAACAAAACCCUCAUAAAAUUUUUAUGUAAACAUAUUAAAAAAGAAGCCGCAACUCGACAAAAACUGCCUUAUCGAAAAAAUACUAAGAGCCAAAAAAGUUUUAAAAAUAUUAAAUUUAACUAAUGGUACCACAAUAAUAAUUUAAUUGGGACGUACAGAAAAGUUUGGGGGGGUUUAAGGGAGCAAAACCCCCAUAAAAAUUUUAUGGGGAGCACAAAUUUCACUAUAAUUUUUCUUUAAGGUGCUUCUACCAUAAGAAUGCUACAUAUCCAUUUUCCAUAGAAAAUCUCUAAUAGUUUUCGAUACAUUCGAAAAAAUCGAUUUUCAUUUUGUAACUUCGAAGGGCUAUAACUUUUUUUAUGUGCAUAUUUGUACUAAGGUAAGUUAGGUUCAUUCGAACUACUUUUGGUCCCAGAAUAUGUGAUUUAAUUUAUGACCUGUAUUUUUGUUACACCCUGUAUAUUAUGUUAAAUAUAAUAUAAACAAUAAAUGUAAAGUAACAUUUAUUUUGUUUUAUUUCACAAUUAUACCAGAUUCCCAAAUGCAUCUAUCUAGGGAUUGGUCAAGGUCAAACACAGUAAAAGUAAUUUAAUAAAAACAAAUCAAACUAAUAUCGUAGUGCAAGUGGUUUUAUUAAUCAUAAAUUAAUUAUAGGUAUAUACCUAAAUUAUACUUUAUAUAUUUAUAUGUAUAUACAGCACAACCAGAUUCACAUUGUAUUUGUGAUUUGGAUGUGCACUGUUGUUGACUUUCGGUUUUUCCAUAUUUUCUGAAUUUUAUUUUGGUACCGUGCAGGCAUUUUACUUGGCGAGACGUUACAAA